CGCCAACACUGGGACUGAGACACUGCCCAGACUCCUACGGGAGGCUGCAGUCGAGAAUCAUUCGCAAUGGGCGAAAGCCUGACGAUGCGACGCCGUGUGAGCGAUGAAGGCCUUAGGGUUGUAAAGCUCUUUCGCCUGGGGACAAGAAAGGUCUACGAAUAAUAGGCCAAUUUGAGAGUACCAGG
rnacentral:rRNA from 1 species